rnacentral:lncRNA from 1 species
AAACGCCAAAGGAGCCGUGAUUAAUGAGCAGCGUUCACCUUUACCUUGGAUCCACCUGCAGGAGCUGCUCUAUUGGAGCGGUGGAGACCUGCUGAGGCUGCAGCGCAGGCUGCUCAGUGUAAUUCAGCACCAGCAAACAUGGAAAAGGAGACUAUCAGUGGACAAAGAAAGACGAUUUUGCAGAGUUGACAACAAGACUCAUAGGUCACCAUCUCAGAGUGUACAGAGCCAUUAUAUGAACAGCGCCCAUCAGAAGCAAAGUUGA